AAACCUAAAAUAAAGAUGAAAAACAGAAGAAACAUAAAAUGACACCAAGGCAUAUUAUAAUCAAAUUGCUUAAAACCAACGAUAAAGAGAAAAUCUGAAAAGCAGCCAGACAGAAAAAACACAUUAUACAGAGGAAAAGAUUCAUAAACUGAAGACCGAUAGCAAAAUGAUGUUCAGUUAAGCAAAUUCAACAUGUCUGAACCUUCAUAAAUUCGCCCCCAGUGAUGCUGUCCUGCAGUGUGAUCCUGGCCUCGGGAGACGUCUGUCCCCAGCAGAGCUAAUCACCUUUACUCUUUGGGUGAAAUUGAAACUGAUAAUAUUUUGAUGUCAACGCAUCUCAUUCAAGAGCUGAGCUGUGAAAUCCUACGAAGCCAUGGCAGGGUGUAGCUUUCUGAGGUUAUCCAAUCCUAUCUGGUGACCGAUCCAGGAAAAGAGGAAAUGAAGCUGGCCCUCCUGUGUGGCUUGGGGAGAACCUAGAUAGAGCCUCAGAUCCUGGGCAUCGAUAUUCCACAUGGAUCCUGUUUGUACCUCUUGUAUUCACACCGGGGAAACUGCAAAGGGAAGACUGCUAAGUAAUGAAAAGGGACACAGUACCAUGCAGUUGAACACCAUGUCAAGUGAGGAUAAAGGAAAACAGCCAUGACAUCACUCCAUUACUGCCACCCCCAGUGUGCCUCACAGGCCCUGCAAUUUAUAAUCUUGUUUAAUCCUCCAAGCAACCGAGGAAUACAGAUAUCAUCGCCCCUGCUGUACAGAUAAGGAAGCAGAGGCUCAUUGGGGUCCAGGAGCAUGCCUGUGGACAAAUAGCUCCUAAAUGACAUUGAGUUUUAAACCCAAUCUCCAAAAAGCCUGUAUGUUUUGAGCGCCUAUGAUGUGUCAUCAGACAGUGAGGCAGGUACUUGGGAUACAAUCAGAUAAAUGGCAGAGAACCUAUCCAAGAAGCCCACAAGCUGGAAGCGAAUACAAGAAACGCCAUCACUCAUAGCCAUGACAAUUACUGAGUGCCUGUCACAUGCCUGGCAUUGUUCCCAUUCAUGACUUCAGUUCAGCCUCCCACCAGCCCACUGACCAAGGCACUAUUUUCCAUGAUGUCUUCACUUUCUGACUUUAAAACCCAGACUCUUCACCAUUAGAUCAUGUGCCUGAGAUCAAUGGCAAGAGAUGAAAGCCUGGCCAAAGCACUGUGUUAAUAAAGUAGGCUGAUUAUACAGUUUACUACAAGUAGAAGGAAUUGCCACAAACUGGUACUUCUGGAGCAGUGUUCAGGAAGAAGGCAGGAACUGCAGCUGAAUCUAGUAAUAAGACACGAUGAUGAUGAUGAUGAUGACAGCAAUGACAACAGCAACAACAAAAAUAGAGGCUGGGUGUGGUGGCUCAUGCUUGUAAUUCCAGCACUCUGGGAGGCAGAGGCAGGAGGAUCGCUUGAGCCCAGGAGUCUGAGACCAGUCUGGGCAACACGGCAAGACCCCAUCCCUACAAAAAAUUUUAAAAUUAGCUGGACAUGGUGGCAUGUAUCUGCAGUCCCAGCUACUCAGGGGGCUAGGGUAGCAGGAUCACUUGAGCCCAAGAAGUAGAGGCUACAGUGAGGUAUGAUCACACCACUGCACUCCAGCUUGGGCAACAGACGAAGACUCU
rnacentral:lncRNA from 1 species